ensembl:lncRNA
UGUGUGUGUGUGUGUGGUGUGUGGUGUGUGGUGUGUGGUGUGUGUGUAGUGUGUGUGUGUGGAUUUUCCUUUUUGGUUUGUCUCUGCAUGAACUCAACAGAUUCUUCCAAAACAACAACGAUACUGUUUUCCACAUUGCUUCUAAAUAUGAAAACACCUGUCCACACAUCUCUAUUAUAAUAUAAAUAUAAGAACAAAAUGUUUGGCCAGUAUGGCCCUAACAACCUGGUAACUUUAAUAUUAUUCAAACAUUUGGUGACACAGAAAGAAAGGGAACAUUACAGAAAGAAAGGAGAUAUUACUGCACUGUUGGAGCUGGAACACAAGCAUUUCACUACUCUCUCACAUACAUCUGAUAAAUGUGUACGUGACCAAUACAAUGUAGUUUGAUUUGAUUUGUAAAGGAUAUCAUAAAGACCCAAUGUAGGCUACAUCUCAAUCAAUAGAAAAAUGUUUUGCAAAUCUAUUGAAAAUUAAAUACAGAAAUCAAAUUUGCAUAAGUAUUCACACCCCUGAGUCUAUACUUGUAGAAGCACCUUUGGCAGCGAUUACAGAUUUGCUUUGUCUUGGGUUUGUUUGUAUCAGCUUUGCACAUCUGGAUUUGUUUUUUUUUCUCCCAUUCUUCCUUUUCUCACGCUCUGUUAAAUAAGAUGGGGAGAGGUGAAAAACAGCAAUCUUCAAGUCCUUCAAUCCACAGAUUUUCAAUGGGUUCAAGUCUGGGCUUUGGCUGGGCCACUCAAGGACUUUCACAUUCUUGUUCUGAAGUCAUUCCAGUAUUGCUUUGGCUGUAUGUUUGGGGUCAUUGUUCUGUUGGAACGUAAGUCUUUGCCUCAGUCUAAAGUUGUUUGCACUCUGAAGCAGGUCAUCAUCAAGGAUUUGCCUGUAUUUGGAUCCAUUCAUUGUUCCUCUGUCCUUGCCAGUCUCCCAGUCCAUUCCGCUUAAAAGUAUCCCCAUAGCAUGAUGCUGCCACCACGCUUCACUGUAGGGAUGGUGUUAGACGGGUGAUGAGCUGUGCCUGGUUUUCUCAACAUGGUCUCAGAGCAGUUCGUAUUAUUUUGUGCGUAUAUAAUCCAAAACACUCCAUUUACUGUGAUAUGUUACGUUUCGUAUGGUAUCUUAUUUUGUGGAUGUCCAUUAUCCAUUUUGUAUGAUAUGUUAUGAAUUACAAUUCAUAAUACAAUUCCUACGAUAUGUUUUGAAUUUGUUGAAUGUAUAACAUGUCACAAAUUACAAUUUGUUGUUGCUAACAGCUAGGUGGCUAACGCUAACUAGCUCUAGGGGUUAAGGUUUGGGGAAGGGUUAGCUAUAAGGGUUAGGGGAAGGGUUAGCUAAAAGGGUUAGGGGAAAGGUUAGGGGAAGGGUUAGCAAACUUGUAGUUCCAAGUAGUUCCAAUGUAGCAAAAAAUUUGUUUCAAUGUUGCUAACUAGCUAAAAUGCUAAAGUUUUCCGUGAUGAGAUUCAAACACUCAACCUUGGAGUUGCUAGAAGUUCGUGUUCUACACCCACAUCCACCCCGACUAAUCACCCUACUAUUGUUUUUGCCUUAAGAAACCUGUUUUAUGUAACCAUUAUGGAGGGAAUUAUUGAAUUACCUAUGUAGAUUAAUUGAACAUACUAUGCUAUUUUUACUUGGAGAAUUAUCCAUGGUUAUAUUUUAGUAUAGGCUUGUCUUGUGUGACUUUGUCAUGGGUCUGGGCGUACAGAUAAGAGCCGUUUGGGUGCAACUGCAGUAUGUGAGAUCCUGUUUUAACAAUCUACAGGAACUUUGAUGUGUGAAAACUGCAAGGGAAAUAUUACGUAUUUACCUGCUUUGUUGAAUAUUGAUUGUUGAAUUAUAUGCUUAACAAUAGUAAGAGAUUUUCACAACUACAAAUGCUGUGCUUCUGUAAAGGGAUGGUUCCCCUCUAGCUCCCUGCAGCUGGUCUGUGGGUAUAGUCAAGGACAUGGUGUGAGCCGAUAUAGAGAUAGCCUGAGAAAUAGAACAAACCCCUAUUUGUUUCUAAUCAUCUAUGCUUCUGAGAAUCUAAGCCAGGGUACGGGGAAACAACACCCGGUGAACAUAACCACAAGAUGAACCCAAGGUAGCUUAUGAUGCCUCGAUCUGCAUGGGAGGGGUGGAACCAGCCAUGACUAAGCAUUUCUAGGUCUGCUAUAUAGGACCUCUGUUUUUUCUGUAUCAUUGAACUUUCUGUCUUACACUCAAGAGUGUGGGGUCGACCAGCUUCAUUAUUGCAAUUCUUAAUAAAUAAAGAAGAUCGUUUGAAGAAA